AUGAGCUGGCCUCUUCUUCUUCUUCUGAUAUCCUCUGUGCCCUAUGUGCAUGGCAUCAGUCUGACCUCAUUUCCUGCUGAGGUUAAACCUCCCGGAGCCUCAGUGAAGUUGUCCUGUCAGAUUUCUGGCUAUGCCCUCACUAGCUAUGGCACAGGUUGGAUCAGACAGCCUCCAGGAAAAGGCUUGGAGUGGAUCUGGAUCAUAUGGGGUGGUGGAAACAUAAACUUUGGAGCUUCGUUUAAAACUCGCUUCAGCAUCUCCAGAGACAUGAGCAACAAUGUGCUUUACAUAGAUAUCAGCAGCCUGGUGCCAGAAGACACGGCUGUUUAUUACUGUGUAAAGUCACACAGCUGUACACCUCACUGGGGACUGAACAAAAAUUAA